UGAUGAUGCAAGAGGACGGUGGUUGAACUAACUUGCAAGUAGCCUACCAAAAAGCACAUUAUUUUUCAAUGUAUUAAGUCUGGCAGUAUCAGACUGAGCAGAACUAUCAGAGGUAGAGGAUCUCUCUUUCGGCUGCUGCUGACAACAACUGCAUUCAGGCAACAACCCAUACUGUACUGACGUUAGGUAGCCCAGCGACAAAGGAGUUGGCCCUGUGGCAGGAGUUGGACCUGUGACCAAAAGGUGUCCGGUUCAAAUCCCGUGCAGGGAAAAAACGGGUGGAAUUGAUUUGACAACUGGAAGGCUGCUGGGUUCACAUCUUCAAAACAUUCACCUACUGUUGGGCCCUUGAGCAAGGCCCAUUAACCCCACAACAUUCUCUCUACCCAGGGGCGCUGCCCUGCAGCUUGAACCUGUGCUCGUCUCAACUGUAUGUGUGAGAUCUGAUGUUUGCGGGGUGUUGAGAAUUAAGCAGAAGACACACUUUUGUUGUUCGCUGUAACUAAUGGAUAAAGUUGUAUUGCAUUGUAAAGAAGUCAGCCAGAGUUUACAUGGGCCAUCAUUCAAACAAAGAGAUGCCUCCCUGGCCACCAGUGCAUAUUUCCAAACUACGUUUGCAUAUAAUGACAAAUUCCAUGAUUUACAGUACCGUGCAAA